rnacentral:rRNA from 1 species
GACGAACGCUGGCGGCGUGCUUAACACAUGCAAGUCGAACGGAAAGGCCCUGCUUUUGUGGGGUGCUCGAGUGGCGAACGGGUGAGUAACACGUGAGUAACCUGCCCUUGACUUUGGGAUAACUUCGGGAAACUGGGGCUAAUACCGGAUAGGAGCUCCUGCUGCAUGGUGGGGGUUGGAAAGUUUCGGCGGUUGGGGAUGGACUCGCGGCUUAUCAGCUUGUUGGUGGGGUAGUGGCUUACCAAGGCUUUGACGGGUAGCCGGCCUGAGAGGGUGACCGGCCACAUUGGGACUGAGAUACGGCCCAGACUCCUACGGGAGGCAGCAGUGGGGAAUAUUGCACAAUGGGUGGAAGCCUGAUGCAGCAACGCCGCGUGCGGGAUGACGGCCUUCGGGUUGUAAACCGCUUUCGCCUGUGACGAAGCGUGAGUGACGGUAAUGGGUAAAGAAGCACCGGCUAACUACGUG